rnacentral:rRNA from 1 species
GACGAACGCUGGCGGCGUGCUUAACACAUGCAAGUCGAACGCUGAAGCUCAGCUUGCUGGGUGGAUGAGUGGCGAACGGGUGAGUAACACGUGAGUAACCUGCCCUCUUCUUUGGGAUAACGCCCGGAAACGGGUGCUAAUACUGGAUAUUCACUGAUUCUCGCAUGGGGGUUGGUGGAAAGGUUUUUUCUGGUGGGGGAUGGGCUCGCGGCCUAUCAGCUUGUUGGUGGGGUGAUGGCCUACCAAGGCUUUGACGGGUAGCCGGCCUGAGAGGGUGACCGGUCACAUUGGGACUGAGAUACGGCCCAGACUCCUACGGGAGGCAGCAGUGGGGGAUAUUGCACAAUGGGCGAAAGCCUGAUGCAGCGACGCCGCGUGAGGGAUGGAGGCCUUCGGGUUGUAAACCUCUUUCGCUCACGGUCAAGCCGCAGCUUGGGGUUGUGGUGAGGGUAGUGGGUAAAGAAGCGCCGGCUAACUACGUG